rnacentral:lncRNA from 13 species
UUUACUAAAAUUAAAAACAUUUUUUUCUCAGUGUACUAUUGAUGGACUGCCUCGAGCCUGCCAUAAUUUGGGGGCAAGACUUAGGCCUGGAAGGAUCCGAUCUCUUCUUGAGUCUCGCACCGCCCCCUAAGUCCAAAGAGAAACCUACCACCUAGGUGAUUGGCGAAGAAAUGAAAAGCCACCCCGAAACCAUUGGAAAACAUUUCUUCAAUGAAGAUUUUUUUAGCGUGAAGAUUUCCUCAUGCUGAAGAUUUCCUCAGAGUGAAGAUUUGGAGUCUAAAAAAAAAUUGAGUUAUACAGUGAUAUAUAUGUAAAAGAAACGUGGAUCAUUUGCGUAAGAAAGCGAAACUUUAUUCUGGUGACGGCUCUCUUUACAAUGCACGUGCAACCGAGGCAAAAAGGGAAGUAAUACAUACAACGACACGGCAGUAACAAACGUAGAGAGCGCGGGCGCUUCGCAAGAACAUGAACAUCCUACAAUAUAGAUUGUCAAUCGAUUAUCGACAAUUCAUCUGCGACUGCGACCCGUUCAAACGUCGCCCGCGAAUCGAUGCCUGGCUGAGCAAUUAGCUAUCAAUCCCCCACUUUGCAAGGUCCAGGCCCAUCUUCCUUAGACAAUCGAUAUGAGCGAUCCGUUUCAACCCCUUGGUCAUUACGUCCGCAGGGUUCUCGUUGGAUGAAAUUGGCCUAUUCAAGUUGUGUGACUCUAGUCAAUGUUGCUUAACCUCUGUGAUUGCUGCAAUCUGAUCCCUGGUGAUGAUCUGUGAACACUUUGUAUAAUACGUGUACAUAACUGUACAUGAUAGAUUAGCUGAAUAUAUGUUAUCAAAAAGAUGAAA